ensembl:lncRNA novel transcript
GUGUGUAUUAACACGCCGGCCUCCUCGCUACCUGUGUGUGUAUUAACACCCCGGCCUCCUCACUACCUGUGUGUGUAUUAACACGCCGGCCUCCUCACUCACCUGUGUGUGUAUUAACACGCCGGCCUCCUCGCUACCUGUAUCAACUAUGGCCUGAGUAUGAUAGACUUAUCCAUGGUUUAAACAGAAUAUAUUGUUUUCAACUUUGAAAAUAAGAAUAUGGAAAUCCAGAUGCAGAAAUGUGAGAAGAAAAGAGAGUAAACAGAGUGGAAGGUCAGGUGACCUUGCCUGUCAUGAAUAUGAAGGUCAAGGUGUGUGAAUUGUGAAAUUUCCAAGAGAACCUCACUGAAGCAAAGAAUGAAGAAAGAAUUGCAUUUGGCCCUGGGAGGGUGCAGGGGUGAAUGGUGCAGGAGCUAAAUCUUUAUCAUACCCAGAAAUCAACAGCCACUAUUUGAAAUCAUCUAAAUUCGUGCUGCUAACCUUCAGUGUACACACGAAUCACCUGGGGAUCUUACUAAAAGCUAGUUUCUGAUUCACUAAA